rnacentral:rRNA from 1 species
UACGGAGGGUGCAAGCGUUAUCCGGAUUCACUGGGUUUAAAGGGUGCGUAGGAGGGUAGGUAAGUCAGUGGUGAAAUCUUCGAGCUUAACUCGGAAACUGCCGUUGAUACCAUCUAUCUUGAAUACCGUGGAGGUGAGCGGAAUAUGUCAUGUAGCGGUGAAAUGCUUAGAUAUGACAUAGAACACCAAUUGCGAAGGCAGCUCGCUACACGAAUAUUGACUCUGAGGCACGAAAGCGUGGGGAUCAAACAGG